UGACUUUCGCUUUCAACGAUUUAUGAGUCGUCCAUUGUUAUUUAUCUCAGCUUCAUCAAAAUAUAUGCUCAUACCAACUUGUUAAUCUAAGCUUUAGUUAUUCUACUAACUCAUGUUCACAGAAUAAUACCUUCUCUCUCUCAACUCUGAAUUCCAUAUUGAAAAGAGGAAGUUAACACCAUGGAGAUUGUGGCGGGAGCUUUUGCAGAGGCUUUGCUAGAGGAAGUGUUCGAGAAGAUGCUUUCGAAGGAAGUGCUUGAUUUCAUCCAGGGAAGGAAACUCACUGAGGGUUUGCUGAAGAAGUUGAAGAUCACUUUGUUGUCUGUGAAUGCUGUUCUUGAUGAUGCUGAGGAGAAGCAAAUAAGCAACCAAGAUGUGAAGCAAUGGCUCGAAGAGCUUAAGGAGGCAGUCUAUGAUGCUGAGGAUCUGUUGAACGAGAUUAAGACAGAAGCCUUGAGGUGCAAGGUGGAGGCUGAAUCUGGAAGCAGCACUAGUAAGAAGUUCCGAAAACUCUCCAAAAAGCUCUUCUCUGCAUGGUUUUAUGCCAUUGACAAAGCAAUUGACUCCAAGAUAGAAGAAAUCAUUGAGAGACUGGACUUCAUUGAAAAGAAAAAAGAUGUUCUUAAUUUGAAAGCAGGAGCAAGACGGAGAGCAUCACAAACAAUACCUUCAACUUCUUUGGUUGAGGACUUUACUCCAUAUGGAAGGGAUGAGGACAAAGAAACUAUCAUCAAAUUAUUAUUAGAUGAUGCUACUGAAAAUAAAAUAAGUGUGGUUCCCAUUGUGGGCAUGGGAGGGAUGGGCAAGACCACUCUUGCUCAGCUCGUAUACAACAACGUUAGAGUAAAGCAGCAUUUUGAACUCCAAGCGUGGGUUUGUGUUUCAGAAGAGUUUGAUGUUGUUAGAGUGACACAAACAAUUUAUGGCUCAAUCAUGUCACGAAGUUGUGAUCUCGUGGACCUAAAUAUGCUUCAGGUUAACCUCAAGGAAGCUUUGACAGGGAAGAAGUUUCUCUUUGUUCUCGAUGAUGUCUGGAAUGAGAAAUAUCUCGAUUGGGAUGUCUUGAGGCGUCCAUUUGAGUCCGGAGCUCAUGGAAGUAAAAUCAUUGUCACGACGCGCAAUGCAAGCGUUGCAUCUGUAAUGGGUACUCUUCGAACUCACCAUCUGAUGCAAAUAUCCGAAGAAGAUUGUUGGUUGUUAUUUGCAAGACAUGCCUUCAAAAGUAGAAGAGUUGGUGGAAAUCCAAAUCUUGAAGUGAUUGGAAGACAGAUUAUUAGAAAGUGUAAAGGCCUUCCUUUAGCUGCAAAAUCACUUGGAGGUCUCUUAAGCUCUGAAUCAAACAUAGAGGAAUGGGAAAAUAUACUGAAGAACGAUAUUUGGCAGUUGUCAGAUAAGGAUAGCAACAUUCUGCCGGCUUUAUGGUUGAGCUACCAUUAUCUGCCUCGGCAUCUUAAGCGUUGUUUUGCCUAUUGUUCGAUAUUUCCCAAAGAUUAUGUUUUCACAAAAUCGAAUCUGGUUUUUCUUUGGAUGGCUGAAGGUCUCUUACAAUCCAAAAACAAGAAAACAGUGGAAGAAGUUGGAGAGGACUACUUCGAUGAUUUACUCUCAAGGUCAUUUUUUCAACAUUCACAAGGCCAAUUUGAUCACCAACCAGUUUUCACUAUGCAUGACCUUAUCAAUGACUUAGCAAAGUUCGUAUGUGGAGAUUUUUGUGUGAGGUUGGAGGACAAUGACUCAUUGGACAUUCAGUGUAAGACUCGUCAUUUUUCGUAUAUGAAAACAUAUGGUGAUGGUUUUGAGAAAUUUGAGGCUUUAUAUGAGGCGAAGAAUUUGCGCACCUUCCUACCAUUAUCACUAAGGUGUCCAAUUGUCGCACAGUUUCAUAUGUCGGAAAAGAUACUGCAUGAUUUAAUUCCAACACUACAAUGUUUAAGAGUGCUAAAUUUAUCAGGCUACAACAUUAGGAAUUUGCCUAAUUCAAUUAGUAACCUGAAACAUCUAAAGCACUUGGACUUGUCUUACACUUUGAUAGGCAAGUUACCUGAUACAACAUGUACUUUGUACAAUUUGCAAACUUUGUUGUUGUCGUACUGUCGGGGCCUUGUUGAGUUGCCAACCAACUUGGAAAGACUAAUCAACUUGCGGCAUCUUGAUAUCAGAGGAACAAAAUUAGAAAAGAUGCCACCAAAGCUGGGCAAAUUGCAGGAUCUCCAAACAUUGAGUGACUUCGUGUUGGACCAAAAUACUGCAGGGUAUGAUGACAUUGUAGAGUUGAAGGAGCUUCAGUGUCUGCGUGGAACUCUUUGUAUUUCAGGGCUUCAUAACAUUGUCCAUGUCAGGGAUGCUUUGGAGGCCAAUAUGAAGGAGAAGAAGUAUCUAAAUCAACUUGUUUUGAAAUGGGGUGGCGAUACUGAGGAUUCGCAAAAAGAUAGAGAAGUCCUCGACAACCUCCAACCUCAUACGAACCUAAAAGAACUGACCAUUGUUUCUUAUGAGGGUACGAGAUUUCCAGGUUGGUUAGUCGAUCGUUCUUACUCAAAUCUAGUUUGUCUUCGACUUUUGAACUGUAAAAAUUGUUACUUCUUGCCACCUCUUGGGAUGCUGCCCUCUCUCAGAGAGCUUGAAAUUAUUGGGUUAAAUGGAGUCGUGUCCAUAGGUGCUGAGUUCUUUGGUGAUGAUGGCAGUGAAAUCCAGCAAUUUCGAUCUCUGCAAGUUUUGAUCUUCGAAAACAUGCGAGAUUGGCAAGAGUGGUCUUAUGUUGGAGGUAAUGAAGAAGGUGGAGCUUUUCCUAAUCUUUGUGAGCUUCGUCUGCGGAAUUGUCCUAAGCUAAGUGGGAGAUUACCUUUGGAUUACUUUCCAAAGCUUAAAAGGCUCGUGUUGUGUCGAACUAAUAUAGAAUGUCUCACUCUUUCACAAGAAUCUGAACGCAGCAAACUCCUAUGCCUCGAGUACCUGUAUAUAUAUUGCCCAAGUUUUGUUUGUUUUCCUGAUGGAGGGCUACAUGCACCAAACUUGACGAAUAUAAAUAUCUGUCGCUGCAAGAAAUUGAGGUCACUGCCAGAACAUAUACACACCCUUCUCCCAUCUCUUCAGUCUAUGGACAUAACAGAAUGUCCAGAACUGGAAUCAUUUCCAGACGGGGGAUUGCCAUCAGAGUUAAAAUCACUUCGGAUUGAGUCUUGCAGAAAACUGAUUGCAAAUCGUAUGCAAUGGGCUCUAGGAAGACUCACCUCUCUCCGAGACUUGAGAGUUGACUUCAAUGAAUGUGGAGAAGUAGAUUCAUUUCCAGAGGAGGGGCUUCUGCCAAAUACUCUCAGCUCUCUCUCCAUCUCCACUCUUUUGAGUCUUAAGACCAUGGAUGGAAAUGGGUUGACAAACCUCAUCUGUCUUGAAAAUUUGGCAAUUCGGAGAUGCCCUGAGCUCCAGAGCUUGCCAGAGGAAGGGCUGCCAACUUCUCUUUCACUUCUAGAAAUCUUUUAUUGUCCUUUGCUAAAACAACGAUGUCAGAGAGAAAAAGGUGAAGAUUGGCCCAAGAUUGCUCACAUCCGUCACAUAAUGAUCGAUGGAGAACAGAUAUGAUGUGCCAUGUCUUGAUCGAUCCCAGUGGCGUUAUCAGAUAUUUAUUUAGCUGAAGAACUGCAAAAAUCACAUGUAUGGCUAUAUCUAUACCAGUGCAGUGAUUAUAUCCCCUGCAUAAUCGAUUCAUUCUGAUAUAAUGUAGUACCAGAAAUCAAGUUUCUUAGUACAUCCAGAGUUUCUAAAAGGAUGUAGAGCAUGGUGCCAUCAAUUUGGGCACCAUGCAGAGAAGCCACUUCUCUGUAGAUUGCUGACGGAAUAUGGCAGUUUAAUCUGGACGUCUUCUGAAGAAAUUAGUUUGUAAAUUGUAAUAUUUCAGUUUUUCAUUGUAUUUAUAUUUAGUUACAAAUUCACCUUUUAAUGCGUUUUGUUUAUCAUCUGUCAUCUGUGCAUGCUUAGUUGGUACAUAUGUACACUCUGGUCCUUCCUGAUUUAAGCUCUCGUUACUCAGUGUGAAUUUUGGUGGUUCACUUCAGUUUGAAUUA